GUCCCCUUUGGAGACAUCCGAUAACUGGAAUAGUACAGGGAAGAGUGGCAUGACCCCAGCGUAAAGAUGACUAUGUAUAAAUCGAGAAAUGAUCCAACAAAUA